rnacentral:rRNA from 1 species
AGCGAACGCUGGCGGCAGGCCUAACACAUGCAAGUCGAACGAACUCUUCGGAGUUAGUGGCGGACGGGUGAGUAACACGUGGGAACGUGCCUUUAGGUUCGGAAUAGCUCCUGGAAACGGGUGGUAAUGCCGAAUGUGCCCUUCGGGGGAAAGAUUUAUCGGCUUUAGAGCGGCCCGCGUCUGAUUAGGUAGCUGGUGGGGUAAUGGCCCACCAAGGCUACGAUCAGUAGCUGGUCUGAGAGGAUGACCAGCCAGAUUGGGACUGGGGCACUGCCCAAACUCCUUCGGGAGGCGGCAGCGGCGAAUCUUGCUCAAUUGGCGACAGCCUGACGCAGCCAUGCCGCGUGUAUGAUGAAGGUCUUAGGAUUGUAAAAUACUUUCACCGGUGAAGAUAAUGACUGUAGCCGGAGAAGAAGCCCCUGCUAACUUCGUGCCAGCAGCCGCCGCAGUAA